GACGAACGCUGGCGGCGUGCUUAACACAUGCAAGUCGAACGGCAAGGCCCUGCUUUCGUGGGGUGCUCGAGUGGCGAACGGGUGAGUAACACGUGAGUAACCUGCCCUUGACUUUGGGAUAACUUCAGGAAACUGGGGUUAAUACCGGAUAGGAGCCCCUGCUGCAUGGUGGGGGUUGGAAAGUUUCGGCGGUCGGGGAUGGACUCGCGGCUUAUCAGCUUGUUGGUGGGGUAGUGGCUUACCAAGGCUUUGACGGGUAGCCGGCCUGAGAGGGUGACCGGCCACAAUGGGACUGAGAGACGGCCCAGACGCCUACGGGAGGCAGCAGUGGGGAAUAUUGCACAAUGGGCGGAAGCCUGAUGCAGCAACGCCGCGUGCGGGAUGACGGCCUUCGGGUUGUAAACCGCUUUCGCCUGUGACGAAGCGUGAGUGACGGUAAUGGGUAAAGAAGCACCGGCUAACUACGUG
rnacentral:rRNA from 1 species